CUGAAUAAAAAGGAUAAUAACUUUUGCAAAUAACAUGAAGAAGCAUAUGGUAGGCAGAAUUCUAAAAUGGACCCCAAGAUUCUGGACCUCCUCCCACAUAUAUGUCCUAUAUAAUGAAUAUGCAGGACUAUGAGUGUGAUAGAUUUUACUCCUGUGUUAGGUAUGUUAAAUGGCACAGUUGACUCUAAGAAGAGAGAUGAUAUGGCAGCCUGACCAGAUAACACAAGCCCUUUAAAAUCAGAGAGUUUUCUCCAGCUGGUGGCCAACAAGGAAGCUGGAGAUUUGAAGCAGAAGAAUUUGAUAUAUUGUUGCCAUCCUAAAAAUGGAAGAAGCCAAUGACUUACAAUAAACAGAAAAAGCAUCCAUUUUUCUUCAUCCCUUAUCCUCAACCCACAACUGAAUUCCUGAUUUGUCCAGCCCAGAGUGAAGAAACAUAGUAAAGUGAGGUGGAAAAGUUUAUAUAAGAUUGAUAUUAUUUGUUCCUUAAAUAUUUAUAAAGAUUCACCAUUAUA